GUGUUAUACGUGUCACACGAUACUGCCGGGUAGUCAAGCCGGAGGAAGGUGGGGAUGAUGUCAAGUCAGCAUGGCCUUUAUAUCCUGGGCUACACACACGCUACAAUGGCAGAUACAAUAGGUUGCGAAACCGCGAGGUGGAGCCAAUCCUCAAAGUCUGUCUCAGUUCAGAUUGUAGGCUGCAACUCGCCUGCAUGAAGUUGGAGUUGCUAGUAAACGCAGGUCAGCUAUACUGCGUUGAAUACGUUCCCGGGUUU
rnacentral:rRNA from 1 species